CCCUGAGCCCCUGGGAUACUGUAGACAGGACCCCAUGGGGAGGUCAUCACCCCGUAGUGCCUCCUUUAGUCUCUUCUCCUGUGGGCUCUGACCACGUCCUGUUUGUUCUCCCCUAGGCAAUAACAAUGCCCAGGGAUCUGAUGUGUCUCUCACAGCUGCUAACGUGUGAGACCAGCUGCCUUGUAGGGACUAAGAGGUGGAAGAUUUCUUCACACCCCCACUUGGUGACAUCAGCAACCCCUAACUUCUCUUUGUGCAGAUAUCAGAACGUGUCUGUGUUCUUUUGAGCAUAUAUGAGGACAUGAGUAGAUUUGCCCACCAGACCCCUCCCUAUUCUGAUUUUAUUCUCCUUUCUGAUGUGCUUUCUUGUUCCAGCAGAGGCAGGGCUGGACCAUCUCCAUCCCUGUCUUAAUUUCAUGUUGGGCUGAGUACAAAUGACUUAUUUCUGUAUUGAAAAUGAGAACCCAGACAUGAGUUGUGUUUCCUAAUUCUUCCAUAUGGGGUAAUAAAAGAGGAGAUUUGUAAAAUUAAGACAGCAAAUAAAUGGAAGCGCUGAGAGCCUUCUAGAAUCCAUGC